AGUGAACGCUGGCGGUAGGCCUAACACAUGCAAGUCGAACGGCAGCACAGUAAGAGCUUGCUCUUACGGGUGGCGAGUGGCGGACGGGUGAGGAAUACAUCGGAAUCUACUUUUUCGUGGGGGAUAACGUAGGGAAACUUACGCUAAUACCGCAUACGACCUACGGGUGAAAGCAGGGGAUCUUCGGACCUUGCGCGAUUGAACGAGCCGAUGUCGGAUUAGCUAGUUGGCGGGGUAAAGGCCCACCAAGGCGACGAUCCGUAGCUGGUCUGAGAGGAUGAUCAGCCACACUGGAACUGAGACACGGUCCAGACUCCUACGGGGGGCAGCAGUGGGGAAUAUUGGACAAUGGGCGCAAGCCUGAUCCAGCCAUACCGCGUGGGUGAAGAAGGCCUUCGGGUUGUAAAGCCCUUUUGUUGGGAAAGAAAAGCAGCAGGUUAAUACCCCGCUGUUCUGACGGUACCCAAAGAAUAAGCACCGGCUAACUUCGUG
rnacentral:rRNA from 1 species